rnacentral:ncRNA from 1 species
GCCGGGGGGGCGCAUAAUACAACACCCGCAAGGGGAAUAGUCUGCCCUGACCUAUGCAGGUUCUUGUCCCCUGGCGCCAGGGU